rnacentral:lncRNA from 1 species
GGCCAAAUAAUUCACAAGAAAUUAAGCACCAGGAAUCAUGAAUCACAAGUUGGAAGACAAAUUGAUAUCAAUAAAUAAUACACACAUAAUUAAUCAGCUUUGUACAAAUCCUAGGUUCAGAUUAACGAACUAGCCAGACAUACUAAAAUAAAUCAAAAGCAUAAAUAAAAGAAAGCAAUUAAAAUAAAUGAAAUAGAUAAAACCCGGAAGAAAUUAUGGAUGAACAGCUUGAAUCUGCAGAAAUAAAUCUAAUCUAUGAAAACUGAAUGUAAAACUGAAAAAAGAAAAAGAAAAAGAAAGGA